rnacentral:rRNA from 1 species
UGCGUAGGCGGCUGAUUAAGUCGGAUGUGAAAUCCCUGAGCUUAACUUAGGAAUUGCAUUCGAUACUGGUCAGCUAGAGUAUGGGGGAGGAUGGUAGAAUUCCAGGUGUAGCGGUGAAAUGCGUAGAGAUCUGGAGGAAUACCGAUGGCGAAGGCAGCCAUCUGGCCUAAUACUGACGCUGAGGUACGAAAGCAUGGGGAGCAAACA